rnacentral:lncRNA from 1 species
GGCCUACGCCUGCCCACACCCACACCUGCAGGUGCUCUGCUGCCAGCUGGGACUGGAGGUGACACAGGAACAGGCCCACCGGCAGGGAGGGGGCAGAGUGACGAACCACCCGCCAGGAGGCCUUGCCAGGCUCCGGGAACCGCAAAACAAACGGGGGUGUGGCCAGGGAACGCAGACAUCACCCCACCUCUCCCUCACUCGGCGCGGCCACCACCCCUGAAAAUCUCUCUCCGAGAGGAGUCUUUAGCUGUCCCGGCCGCCUGGGAGGAGGGCGCCCAAGGCUGCCGGGCGUGCGAUUGGCUGGGGCCGGGCCCUCCCCUCCCGCGACAGGGAAAGCUAUGCAGGCGGCAGAUGUUUGCCCCCAAGCUGCUGGGGUGGAGGUGGCGGCUCCCACCGCUCCCUCUGUGUGGAGUCGGCCCGGAAGGCGCCCAGGAGGGCAGGAGAGGAGGGAGCCUGCAAGGCGCCGGCUAUGGGAGCAGUGACACCCCACAAUUCCAGAAACUUGGAAGGCUGAGACAAGAGGACCCCUUAAGCCCAGGAGUUCCAGGAUGUCCUCAGCAAUAUUGUGACUCUAUCUCAAUAAAAUAUAGGGAUUGGUGAUUUAGCUUAGUGGUACAGCACUUGCCUGGUGAACUCAAGGUCCUGGGUUCAAUUCCUAGAACCAGAAAAGAAAUAAAUAAUAAUUCUGGCUCUUUCUCCCUCAGAUAUUUCCCUAUUUCUGGUUUAAAGAUGUAAGCAGAGGAGCUAGGCACCUAGCUCAGUGAUACAGUGCUUGGCUAUUGAGUGUAAGGCCCUGGGUUCUAUUCCUAGUAGCUCAAAAAACAAACAAAAAAAAGACAGUACUUGGGAGGCUGAGGCAGGAGGAUUGUUGUGACUUGGAGACCAGCCUGAGCUACAAAGUGAGCUCAAGGCCGGCCUGAACUGCAUAGCGAGACCCUGUCUCAAAAAGACAAAAAAUAAAUAAAUUUUAAAAAGAAAGAAAGAAAAACAUACAUAUGGGCUGGACAUGGUGGUACAUGCCUGUAAUCCCAGCACUUGAGAGGCUGAGGCAGGAGAAUUGCUGCAAGUUUGAAGCCAGCCUGGGCUACAUGGUGAGUUCAAGGUCAGUUUGAACUGCAUAGCAAAACCCUGACUGAAAAAGAAAAAUACAUAGUGUAUGUAGAUCGCAUUAACCUGCCGGGAGAUGGCUAUUACUAUUCCCCAUUCUUGCACCUGAGGAAACUGAGGUUCAUUAAAACGAAAUGUCAUGAAAUCAGUGAUCAAGCGGAACCUGACUUCCAUCUCUCUGACAUAAGUCCCAUUCUACCAACCCUGGGACAGUGUAGCUAGCUCCCCAAGUGGGUAAACUACACCCAGCUUCGCAGCAGGCACACCAGCUGCGGGGUCAGCCCCGAGAAGGCCCCUGGCACUCUUUCUGGAGCCCGCCCGCCGCACACGCCCCAAGCCAGUCAGGGUGAAGGUCAGAGGCGAGCUGAAAAUGAAGGGGCGCCUGGGCCACGUCUUGGGCCGCUUAAGUCAG